rnacentral:rRNA from 1 species
GACGAACGCUGGCGGCGUGCCUAAUACAUGCAAGUAGAACGCAGUUGCGAACGGGGGAGUAACGCGUAGGUAACUACCUCAUAGCGGGGGAUAACUAUUGGAAACGAUAGCUAAUACCGCAUACAAGGAGCUGGACCUGCGUUGUAUUAGCUAGUUGGUGAGGUAACGGCAAACCAAGGCGACGAUAAAUAGCCGACCUGGGAGGGUGAUCGGCCACACGGGGACUGAGACACGGACCAGACUCGUACGGGAAGCAGCAGUAGGGAAUCUUUGGAAAUGGGCGGAAGUCUGAACGAACAACGCCGGGUGAUGGAAGAAGGUUUUCGGGUCGUAAAGCUAUGUUGUGAGAGAAGCGGUAACUAACCAGAAAGGGACGGCUAACUACGUGCCAGCAGCCGCGGUAAUUC